UGGGGAAUAUUGCACAAUGGGCGCAAGCCUGAUGCAGCCAUGCCGCGUGUGUGAAGAAGGCCUUCGGGUUGUAAAGCACUUUCAGCGGGGAGGAAGGCGUUAAGGUUAAUAACCUUGGCGAUUGACGUUACCCGCAGAAGAAGCACCGGCUAACUCCGUGCCAGCAGCCGCGGUAAUACGGAGGGUGCAAGCGUUAAUCGGAAUUACUGGGCGUAAAGCGCACGCAGGCGGUCUGUCAAGUCGGAUGUGAAAUCCCCGGGCUCAACCUGGGAACUGCAUUCGAAACUGGCAGGCUAGAGUCUUGUAGAGGGGGGUAGAAUGCCAGGUGUAGCGGUGAAAUGCGUAGAGAUCUGGAGGAAUACCGGUGGCGAAGGCGGCCCCCUGGACAAAGACUGACGCUCAGGUGCGAAAGCGUGGGGAGCAAACAGG
rnacentral:rRNA from 1 species